UACAGAGGUGGCAAGCGUUGUUCGGAAUUACUGGGCGUAAAGCGCGUGUAGGCGGCUAUGUAAGUCGGGCGUGAAAUCCCACGGCUCAACCGUGGAAGUGCACCCGAAACUGCGUAGCUAGAGUCCUGGAGAGGAAGGUGGAAUGCUUGGUGUAGAGGUGAAAUUCGUAGAUAUCAAGCGGAACACCGGUGGCGAAGGCGGCCUUCUGGACAGUGACUGACGCUGAGACGCGAAAGCGUGGGGAGCAAACAGG
rnacentral:rRNA from 1 species